rnacentral:rRNA from 1 species
GGGGCAAGCGUUGUCCGGAAUUAUUGGGCGUAAAGCGCGCGCAGGCGGCGAUUUAAGUCUUCUGUUUAAUGCAUGGGCUCAACCCGUGUUCGCAGAGGAAACUGGGUGGCUGGAGUGCAGGAGAGGAAAGUGGAAUUCCACGUGUAGCGGUGAAAUGCGUAGAGAUGUGGAGGAACACCUGUGGCGAAGGCGACUUUCUGGCCUGUAACUGACGCUGAGGCGCGAAAGCGUGGGGAGCAAACAGGAUUAGAUACCCUGGUAGUCCACGCCGUAAACGAUGAGUGCUAGGUGUCGGGGGUUUCGAUACCCUCGGUGCCGAAGUUAACACAGUAAGCACUCCGCCUGGGGAGUACGCUCGCAAGAGUGAAACUCAAAGGAAUUGACGG